rnacentral:rRNA from 1 species
AUCAAAGCCGCAAGGCGGGAGAGGAGGAGCCCGCGCCCGAUUAGCUAGUUGGUGAGGUCAUGGCUCACCAAGGCGAUGAUCGGUAGCCGGUCUGACAGGACGACCGGCCACACUGGAACUGAGACACGGUCCAGACUCCUACGGGAGGCAGCAGUGGGGAAUAUUGCGCAAUGGGCGAAAGCCUGACGCAGCGACGCCGCGUGGGGGAUGAAGCUUCUCGGAGUGUAAACCCCUUUCGGCCCGGACGAAACGUCCCGCAAGGGAUUUGACGGUACGGGUAUAAGAAGCCCCGGCUAACUACGUGCCAGCAGCCGCGGUAAGACGUAGGGGGCCAGCGUUGCUCGGAAUAACUGGGCGUAAAGGGUUCGUAGGCGGUGUGACAAGUCGGGAGUGAAAUCCUGAGGCUUAACUUCAGGACUGCCUCCGAAACUGUCAUGCUGGAGUGCGGGAGAGGCGAGUGGAAUUGCAGGUGUAGCGGUGAAAUGCGUAGAUAUCUGCAGGAACACCAGUGGCGAAAGCGGCUCGCUGGACCGCAACUGACGCUGAGGAACGAAAGCUAGGGGAGCAACAGGAUUAGAACCCUGGUAGCCUAGCCCUAACGAUCAAACUUGGGUGGGCCCUUUCGGGUUCGUCCCGAGCUACGCGUUAAUUCUCGCCUGGAGAUACGGCGCAAGCUGAACUCAAAGAAUGACGGGGCCGCACAGCGGUGGACAUGGGUUCAUUCACGCACGCGAGAACCUACCUGGCUUGACCGCACGGACAUCCGAGAAUCGGACUCUCCAAGGACCGGUAGAGUGCGCAUGCUGCGUCACUCUGCCGGAGUGUGGGUAAGCCGAACGGCGCACCCUACACUAGUGCACCGCAGGGAAACCUAGUGACGCUCCGAAACGAAAGAAGUGGGAAACCCAGCAGCUGGCU